rnacentral:rRNA from 1 species
GGCUUUUUGAUAAUAAUUUAAAGUCUGGCCUGCCCACUGAAUUUUAAAGGGCCGCAGUAUUUUGACUGUGCUAAGGUAGCAUAAUCAUUAGUUUCUUAAUUAGAAACUGGUAUGAAUGGUUGGAUGAGAAAAUAACUAUCUUAAAUUUAAUUAUAUUGAAUUUUAUUUUUAAGUUAAAAAGCUUAAAUUAUAUUAGAAGACGAGAAGACCCUAUAGAGUUUAAUAUAAAUUUAUAAAAUUAUAUUUUUAGAAUUUUUAUUAUAAUUUAAAUAUUAUAUUUAAUUGGGGUGAUUAAGAAAUUAAAUUAACUUUUUUUUAUUUUUAUACAUUAAUGAAUGAUUUUUUGAUCCAUGAAAGUGAUUAUAAGAUUAAAUUACCUUAGGGAUAACAGCGUAAUUUUUUUUAAGAGUUCUAAUCGAAAAAAGAGAUUGCGACCUCGAUGUUGGAUUAAAAUUAAUUAUUGGUGAAGAAGCUAAUAAAUUAGGUCUGUUCGACCUUUAAAAUUUUACAUGA